UACGAAGGGUGCAAACGUUGCUCGGAAUUAUUGGGCGUAAAGCGCACGUAGGCGGCUUUGCAAGUCGGAUGUGAAAUCCCUCGGCUUAACCAAGGAAGUGCAUCCGAAACUGCAGAGCUUGAGUACUUAAGAGGAUCGCGGAAUUCCCGGUGUAGAGGUGAAAUUCGUAGAUAUUGGGAAGAACACCGGUGGCGAAGGCGGCCAUCUGGACCGAGACUGACGCUGAGGCGCGAAAGCGUGGGGAGCAAACAGG
rnacentral:rRNA from 1 species